UACGAAGGGGGCUAGCGUUGCUCGGAAUUACUGGGCGUAAAGGGCGCGUAGGCGGACGGCUUAGUCAGAGGUGAAAGCCCAGGGCUCAACCUUGGAAUUGCCUUUGAUACUGGCCAUCUUGAGUACGGGAGAGGUGUGUGGAACUCCGAGUGUAGAGGUGAAAUUCGUAGAUAUUCGGAAGAACACCAGUGGCGAAGGCGACACACUGGCCCGUUACUGACGCUGAGGCGCGAAAGCGUGGGGAGCAAACAGG
rnacentral:rRNA from 1 species